rnacentral:rRNA from 1 species
CUGCUCAGANUGAACGCUGGCGGCAGGCCUAACACAUGCAAGUCGAGCGGAUGAAGUGAGCUUGCUCAUGGAUUCAGCGGCGGACGGGUGAGUAAUGCCUAGGAAUCUGCCUGGUAGUGGGGGACAACGUUUCGAAAGGAACGCUAAUACCGCAUACGUCCUACGGGAGAAAGCAGGGGACCUUCGGGCCUUGCGCUAUCAGAUGAGCCUAGGUCGGAUUAGCUAGUUGGUGAGGUAAUGGCUCACCAAGGCUACGAUCCGUAACUGGUCUGAGAGGAUGAUCAGUCACACUGGAACUGAGACACGGUCCAGACUCCUACGGGAGGCAGCAGUGGGGAAUAUUGGACAAUGGGCGAAAGCCUGAUCCAGCCAUGCCGCGUGUGUGAAGAAGGUCUUCGGAUUGUAAAGCACUUUAAGUUGGGAGGAAGGGUUGUAGAUUAAUACUCUGCAAUUU